rnacentral:misc_RNA from 1 species
AACGCAGGCCGCACUUUGCAGUAUCACUCUGUGUUACUGCAAGGUAUUUACGUAUGAGUGUCAGCCUAAUAUCCUUUUGGUUCAUGAGGGGAAUCCAUUUCAACUCAUGAAUACACAAAUGUCAAGAGACAUAUCUCUGGAAACAUUUUGUGUGUCUGGCCUCAUAUGUGAAAGGUUACCCGCUGGAUUUAA